CUGGGUGGCCCUGGAACAGCUGGUUAUCAGUGACCACCGCUUUUACUGCUCCCAGAAUUGAGAUGCCACAACCUGAUGCCGGUUGGACACGGUUGCGCAGCACCUCAAUUCCUGCUGCCUGCCCUUGGAAGAUGUGGUUCCCACUAAGAGAGAGGAUGAACAUGAAGAAAGGAACUAGUGAAGAAAGACCACUGUAUAAUAGAGGUUGCAUUCAAAUUUCUUUUAAGUCAACAUUCAUGAAAGCUGAGUCGGUGCCAACAAGUCACUGAUGAUGUCGAAAUUUUUUUCAAAAAAAGGCAAAUUGCAGGAGGAGGAAAGCCUCUGCAAUAAACUAUAUUCACAGAGAAUAGACUGCUUAUAUAUCGAAUUAAAGUAGAAGAUUAGAACAGAAGACGUCAAAUGAUAGCUCAGAAUAAAUAUCCUAUCACUCUGUGUGCUUGUUGCUGGGACAACCAAGUAAUAUUAGCACAAUUUGGCCAAAAGAGAAAAAGUAUCUUCGUUCGGCGUCAACCCCAGCAAUGGGUUCUGCAUGGUAGAAAUUUGUAGUGCAUGCAAAUAAUCACGGACCUCUUUGCGUGCAAUAGAAUAAUUCGCUGCCCCACUUCAACUUUGAUAGCAUGGCCCCAAAAAUAGUUAAAAAUAAUGCUUGAACCUGCUCCCCCACCCUUUACUCAAAAAAGCUGCACAUCUUUUUCUGAUCUUAUCUGACAUUCAGAAAUAAAAUAUACUUAGUAAACAUACUCAGGUAACAGACUAAUUUCAUUCAGUGCGCUCAUCUGGUGCCACAAGAAGCUCUGUCUUCUCAAGCCAAAAACAAGGACUUAGUGUGUCUACAUAACACUCUUGAUAGGGAUGGUGAAGUUGACUAGUUUGUCAAACUAUUGUGAGCUUGAUUAUUACAAAUUGAAAUUGAAAAAAAAAUCCAACUGAAAUUUUACCAAAUACUCUCCUUGGUUUGGAAUUAUUUUACUAUUUGUUGGACUUUAUUCACUUUUCAUAUGUUGCAGAAUGUGUAGAAGAAGUGGUCCAACAUGUAUCUCUCCUGGACAGUAGAGACAUCAGCUGAUUAAAAAGAUGUGAUUUUUUUUUUAAUUGAACAAUUCUUUUAAACAUGCACAAAUAAUUAUUUCUUUGUAGGAUUGGGCAUGGGUAACCGAGGGCAGUCCUCGACACCAGUCUGGGAUAUGCGAGGUACCUUGUCCAUUCACUGCUAAGAUGCCCUGCCCCUUGCAAAGUGGUUCCUCUGUAUCACAGCCAUAUUUACAAUGGAGUUCUGGAUGCAUCUGACAGCAUAGUUCAGACAACGGAAAACGUUGCCUUCCA